AAGCAUUACUACAUCCAGAUUUUAGCCUAGAGUCUGCAAAAGCUAAUUUGAGAUCCCAAAAUAGCCAUCAGCAUCGGAUGUGUCUCUCAGAGAUGCUCUAAUUAGCCAGACAUUCCGGGGGUGCUGCAGGACUCACUGAAAUACGUGAGGGGUAAGAGAUUCCUCCGAGAGCUGAAGUCUGAGUCGCCCACACAACCUCCCUCUGCGCUGACACCACCACUGGAGGGGGCAUUCUGCUGGCUGCGGGCAGACAAGUGCAGGGCUGAAAACCUGCCUUGAUGUGGCCCUCUGUGAACAUCCAAAUUUGGCAAGUUGGGUCCAGCUUGGAUGUCGGAGCCCAGCUGGAUUCCCUGUUUGGCUGUUAGAGCAGCUGAUUCUUUUUGUACGGAAUGAGUUUUUAAUUCUGAACGAGAGCAUCUGCCGCGGACAGAGCCAAGAAAAACAAUUGAAACGUGCACAUCUUCCCUUCCUCACCCCACACCGCUGCUCUCCUAAGGAGCACGUGGGCAGAGGGCGAUCCCUGCAGCCUAUGCCAAACCUUCUGAGCAGCCCUAAAGGAAACGGGACCAGCUGUGCCCUGGCUGCUGGAGCUGCCGAGGAGAACAGGAGGUGCUGCUCACACGGCUCCUCUCUCGGCUAUGAGGAGUACAUAUGGUGCUUCUGGGGAGCAAGGCGAGGCUGAGGGAAAUCCCGCUUUAAUUGAUAAAGCCGGAACAUCCCGAAGGAGAUGUUGGAUACGAGCCCCACUUGUAAGCUUUGAGGGGGAGGAAUUUCUGCAGGCUAGCUGGGGCCCGUGGGGAGCUGCCAUCUCAAAUGUAGAUAUUAUUCCUCCUUGCUGCUCGGGAAGCUCGGUUCUGUGAGCGCAGUGCCGAAACCUUUGCUGCUGCUGCUCAGGUUGAGCCUUGCACUGCUGCCGUGUGUUUCAAUCGAGACGUUUGCCUCCACUCUGCUCCUUUUGCAAAGCGGGAUGGAGCUCGGAGGAGCUGGUGUCAGAGACAAUAAAGGAGCACAGGUUAAGAUGCCGUUGCCUUUCCUGUGACUGGGAAGCAGGGAACUGGCCAGAAUUCACUGGGAGCACUGGCGAGCACCAGGACCUCCUUCAGCUGCCCCGAAAGCAGCGUGGGGGCUGCGAUGCUGGUUUCCAACAGAGCGGUGGCACUGAUGCAUCCUGCCUGAUGGCAUUACGGCUCCUGAAGCACGAGGUCUGCACCCAGGAUCCGCAUGCCGUGGGGUCUGAUGGCUCUGCACAGCACAGGUCCCAAACCCAGUAAGGAGCAGAAGACGAGUCCUGAAAGUUCACUGCCUUCAGCAGCGGCUCUGCCUCCAGCCUAGGCAGGGGUGGCUGUCCCCAUUGUGUAACGCUCCAUCUGCACUGAGGCAUCGAACGCCCACGAGUGGAGGAAUUCGAUGAACAACACAGCGAGCGGCGGGUGGAGAUGGCGAAGACUGAUCAAGGUGAAUCACGGCGUUAAAAUAACUCGCAGGGGAAAGCGGCGCGCUCAGGGCUGCCAUUUAGCAAGAAGCCUUGAGCAGGUGCUGGAAACGAUUACUCAUCCCUUACAAUAAAGGCCUAACGCUGGCUUUUUUGCCUUUUUUUUUUUUUUUUGGUGUCGGGCUGGAGAUGCGGAGCGGGGCUCAGCCCCCGGGGUGAUGCUAUGGGGGGGGAGG
rnacentral:lncRNA from 1 species